AACGAACGCUGGCGGCAGGCCUAACACAUGCAAGUCGAGCGCACCUUCGGGUGAGCGGCGGACGGGUUAGUAACGCGUGGGAAUAUGCCCUUCACUACGGAAUAGCCUCGGGAAACUGAGAGUAAUACCGUAUACGCCCUUCGGGGGAAAGAUUUAUCGGUGAAGGAUUAGCCCGCGUCUGAUUAGGUAGUUGGUGGGGUAAUGGCCUACCAAGUCUACGAUCAGUAGCUGGUUUGAGAGGAUGAUCAGCAACACUGGGACUGAGACACGGCCCAGACUCCUACGGGAGGCAGCAGUGGGGAAUCUUAGACAAUGGGCGCAAGCCUGAUCUAGCCAUGCCGCGUGAGUGACGAAGGCCUUAGGGUCGUAAAGCUCUUUCGCCAGAGAUGAUAAUGACAGUAUCUGGUAAAGAAACCCCGGCUAACUCCGUGCCAGCAGCCGCGGUAAUACGGAGGGGGUUAGCGUUGUUCGGAAUUACUGGGCGUAAAGCGUACGUAGGCGGAUUGGAAAGUUGGGGGUGAAAUCCCGGGGCUCAACCCCGGAACUGCCUCCAAAACUAUCAGUCUAGAGUUCGAGAGAGGUGAGUGGAAUUCCAAGUGUAGAGGUGAAAUUCGUAGAUAUUUGGAGGAACACCAGUGGCGAAGGCGGCUCACUGGCUCGAUACUGACGCUGAGGUACGAAAGUGUGGGGAGCAAACAGGAUUAGAUACCCUGGUAGUCCACACCGUAAACGAUGAAUGCCAGACGUCGGGGGGCUUGCCCUUCGGUGUCACUCCUAACGGAUUAAGCAUUCCGCCUGGGGAGUACGGUCGCAAGAUUA
rnacentral:rRNA from 1 species